AUACACUGCAGUCAGAUUGAAGUGCCACACAUUGCAUUACUGGGUUCUGGAGGAGGACAAAGAGCCAUGGUGGGUUUGCUGGGAUCCCUGGUUCAGCUUGAUAAAGCGGGUCUUCUGGACUGCAUCCUUUAUCUGAGCGGAGUCUCUGGAUCCACCUGGUGCAUGGCCUCCUUAUACCAAGAACCAGACUGGUCCACCAAACUAGAGACCGUGAAAGACAAUAUCAUCAAGAGACU